GUGCUCACUUCAGCUGCACAUAUACUAAAGUUGGAAUGAUACAGAGAUUAGCAUGGCCCCUGUGCAAGAUGACAUGCAAAUUUGUGAAGUGUUCCAUAUUUAA
rnacentral:snRNA from 1 species